rnacentral:rRNA from 1 species
AUUGAACGCUGGCGGCAGGCCUAACACAUGCACGUCGAGCGAGCGGCGGACGGGUGAGUAAUGUAUGGGGACUGCCCGAUAGAGGGGGAUAACUACUGGAAACGGUAGCUAAUACCGCAUACUAUCGGAUAACCCAUAUGGGAUUAGCUAGUAGGUGAGGUAAUGGCUCACCUAGGCGACGAUCCCUAGCUGGUCUGAGAGGAUGAUCAGCCACACUGGGAAUGAGACACGGCCCAAACUUCUACGGAGGCAGCAGUGGGGAAUAUUGCACAAUGGGCGCAAGCCUUAUGCAGCCAUGACGCGGGUAAGAAGAAGGCCCUAGGGUUGUAAAGUACUUGCAGUCGGGAGGCGUUAACGACAGAAGAAGCAACGGAUAACUCCGUGCCAGCAGCCGCGGUAAUAC